AUUGAACGCUGGCGGCAUGCCUAACACAUGCAAGUCGAACGGCAGCAUGAAUAGGGGUAACCUUAUUUGAUGGCGAGUGGCGGACGGGUGAGUAAUAUGUAGGAAUCUACCUAGAGGAGGGGGAUAACUUGGGGAAACCCAAGCUAAUACCACAUAAGCCCUACGGGGGAAAGCAGGGGACCGCAAGGCCUUGCGCCUUAUGAUGAGCCUACAUCGGAUUAGCUAGUUGGUGGGGUAAAGGCCUACCAAGGCGACGAUCCGUAGCUGGUCUGGGAGGAUGAUCAGCCACACUGGGACUGAGACACGGCCCAGACUCCUACGGGAGGCAGCAGUGGGGAAUAUUGGACAAUGGGCGAAAGCCUGAUCCAGCAAUGCCGCGUGUGUGAAGAAGGCCUUAGGGUUGUAAAGCACUUUCAGUAGGGAGGAAGGGUGUAACGCUAAUAUCGUUGCACAUUGACGUUACCUACAGAAGAAGCACCGGCUAACUCUGUGCCAGCCGCCGCCGUAA
rnacentral:rRNA from 1 species